rnacentral:rRNA from 1 species
AUUGAACGCUGGCGGCAGGCCUAACACAUGCAAGUCGAGCGGUAGAGAGGUGCUUGCAUCUCUUGAGAGCGGCGGACGGGUGAGUAAUGCCUAGGAAUCUGCCUAGUGGUGGGGGAUAACGUUCGGAAACGGACGCUAAUACCGCAUACGUCCUACGGGAGAAAGCGGGGGAUCUUCGGACCUCGCGCCAUUAGAUGAGCCUAGGUCGGAUUAGCUAGUUGGUGAGGUAAUGGCUCACCAAGGCGACGAUCCGUAACUGGUCUGAGAGGAUGAUCAGUCACACUGGAACUGAGACACGGUCCAGACUCCUACGGGAGGCAGCAGUGGGGAAUAUUGGACAAUGGGCGAAAGCCUGAUCCAGCAAUGCCGCGUGAGUGAUGAAGGCCUUAGGGUUGUAAAGCUCUCUUACCCGAGAUGAUAAUGACAGUAUCGGGAGAAUAAGCUCCGGCUAACUCCGUGCCAGCAGCCGCGGUAAA